rnacentral:rRNA from 1 species
AGCAGUGGGGAAUAUUGCACAAUGGGCGCAAGCCUGAUGCAGCCAUGCCGCGUGUAUGAAGAAGGCCUUCGGGUUGUAAAGUACUUUCAGCAGUGAGGAAGGUGGGUAUGUUAAUAGCAUACUCAUUUGACGUUAGCUGCAGAAGAAGCACCGGCUAACUCCGUGCCAGCAGCCGCGGUAAUACGGAGGGUGCGAGCGUUAAUCGGAAUUACUGGGCGUAAAGCGCAUGCAGGUGGUUUGUUAAGUCAGAUGUGAAAGCCCGGGGCUCAACCUCGGAAUUGCAUUUGAAAACUGGCAAACUAGAGUACUGUAGAGGGGGUAGAAUUUCAGGUGUAGCGGUGAAAUGCGUAGAGAUCUGAAGGAAUACCGGUGGCGAAGGCGGCCCCCUGGACAGAUACUGACACUCAGAUGCGAAAGCGUGGGGAGCAAACAGGAUUAGAUACCCUGGUAG